rnacentral:rRNA from 1 species
GAUGAACGCUAGCGGCAGGCUUAAUACAUGCAAGUCGAGGGGCAGCAUGUCCCGCAGCAAUGCGGGAUGAUGGCGACCGGCAAACGGGUGCGGAACACGUACAGAACCUUCCUUCGAGCGGGGAAUAGCCCAGAGAAAUUUGGAUUAAUACCCCAUAGUAAAUUGAAAAGGCAUCUUUUUAAUUUUAAAGAUUUAUCACUUGAAGAUGGCUGUGCGGCUGAUUAGGUAGUUGGCGGGGUAACGGCCCACCAAGCCUGCGAUCAGUAACUGGUGUGAGUGCACGACCAGUCACACGAGCACUGAGACACGGGCCCGACUCCUACGGGAGGCAGCAGUAAGGAAUAUUGGGCAAUGGACGCAAGUCUGACCCAGCCAUGCCGCGUGGAGGAUGAAGGUCCUCUGGAUUGUAAACUUCUUUUAUAUGGGACGAAAAAAGGGCUUUCUAGCUCACUUGACGGUACCAUAUGAAUAAGCACCGGCUAACUCCGUGCCAGCCGCCGCGGUAAGAC